UACGAAGGGGGCUAGCGUUGCUCGGAAUUACUGGGCGUAAAGCGCACGUAGGCGGCUCUUUAAGUCGGGGGUGAAAUCCUGGAGCUCAACUCCAGAACUGCCUUCGAUACUGAAGAGCUCGAGUCCGGGAGAGGAGAGUGGAAUUCCUGGUGUAGCGGUGAAAUGCGCAGAUAUCAGGAAGAACACCCGUGGCGAAAGCGGCUCUCUGGAACGGUACUGACGCUGAGGCGCGAAAGCGUGGGGAGCGAACAGG
rnacentral:rRNA from 1 species